GUUAUCCGGAAAAAUUUAUUUCGGUUUACCGGAAAUUUUUACCGGUAAAAAUUUUGACCGAAUGCUUUGGUUCUAUAAUUAACCCCAUUGACUUUAAAAUUCCGUUCUAAAUCGGAGAAGAAAUAAUCAAGUUUCUACAAUUAUUUAUUUUCCAAUUGUGCUAAAAAUGUAACGGAUAUUAUUCGAUUUGCACAAAAAGAAUGUUUGGUUACGGUUUUGUCUACAGUCCGAAACUAUAUUCCCACUUGAAACGAUCAGACACACACACAUGCACAUUGGUGAUGCAAAGUCAUAAUAUGUGCAAGAAUUGAAACUUGACGGAUGUAUUACAAAAUUUCUACUUUUCUAUUUUAUUAAAUAUAUAGUGUGUCGUUGUUGAUUUUCGUGUUGAAUUUCCUUGGGAAUUUUUAGACAACAUUGAAAACACUAGUCCAUAGUUUUGUUUAUCCUUGGGCAUUUUGCCAUUUCUUCCCUAGACUGACUUGUACUCUCUUCCUCGUCGACACUUUGCUUUUUUUAUAGACACUGCUGUCUUUAAAUAUAUAUUUAUAUACACAAACGGAGAAUAACAUCGAAUAAUAACACAUUAACGGUAUUUGAUACACACACUCACACAAAGAAAAAAAACAAAAGAGAAAAAAAAGAAAAAAAAAGAAAGGUAAUUUAUGUAGGACAAAAUAUUGGGACGUUAGUAGAGCAGAGUGGAUGGUAACGAUCAAAAUCUAAGCUUUAUUUUAGCAAAAAAACUGCAAGAAAAACAGAUAAAAAUGGGCAUUAUAAUCUGUCUGGUUGUGAUUAGACUCGCAUUCCCAUCAAGAGGGGUGAGGUAGAUUUUGCUGGGUGAAGUACAAGUACGGAAUGGCACAUUACGAGACAAGUACUGAAAGGGUUGAGAUCGAUAAUGACUAAAGCUUGUGUUGAGAUUUUACGCGCGGUCUGCAGCGACUAAGGAAACGCUGUGUAGUCGACUGAAUGCAAUGCAGAAUUAAUUUUUUUUUUUUUUUCCGUCCGGCAGAGCGGACAGUUACUUGCGCGUAUCUGAUAAUAAAAAGUAUACACAUUUACGCAGGCCCGAUCUUUUUUGUGGGAUAAAAUGCGCUGGCUUUAAGAAAUUGUAGAAGGGAGAAACUUUGCUGACAGUCAUGAUUGAUGGGUAUCCCAUAAGAUUGAUUACUUAAGUAAGAACGGUAAUAAGCGAAUGGGGACUGGACGUGUGCUGUAUUAAAGGCUGACGACUCCGUCCUUUUCCAUAAUCUCUGGUUCCGAAAGGCCCCGGAAAAAAGCGUAAUUAAUGAGGUAUUUACCGUUCUUAACUAGAAGAUUAUUUAUUGGCGCCGGUAACACAGGUAACAAUGGUUCCUUUUAAUGAAAAAGGCAGCGAUAAACAAGUGCAUCAGACACAACAAUGUAACGAGAGAAGUCUUCCCAAACAUGUGACGUCGACCGAUCCCAAGGUCAGCGCGCCGCUCGAUUUCCAAAAGGCCGGCCAUCCCAGAUUCUAUUUCGUUUUUAAUCAGUCCGGCUGCAACCGAGCUGUCCACUCGCAGUUCAGUCGAUGCCAAGCAAUUUCGUGUCAACCCUAGUUCAAGUUGGUCACGUGACACGUCUAGCAGGAUAACGUUAUCAUUCUCCAUAAAUUUCAAUGGGAGAUAAAAACUGGGGAGCGUUAGCUAUGCGGUGCUAGCUGGCUGGCUGCUGGCUGUUGGCUGGCUGGCUUGCAGUGCCACACAGUGGAGAACGGCUGGCGUACGAGCCGCCAUGAUGGAAAAGACACUGACGCCAAGUAAGUAAGCUAGGCUUAAAAAACUAACCGCCUUUGCCUUAAUGGCUUAGAUAGACGGUCGGAUUUCGGGUCAAUGACUCUCGGGGUCGGGUGGACUGCAUGAUUGGCGGGUGUGGCGGUAAAGUAUACGUACAGGAACGACGCGUACCGUCCAUUUGUUAAAAGGGUAGUGUUGGCCACUGCUUUCAACCCUUUGAACACUGGUCGGAGCGCGUGUGCGUCAUGCCGUUGUUUAUUGUCGGCUCUCAGUCGCAUGGUGAAUAAAGCAUCACAAAUAUUCCCUCACUCAUUCGAAUGUGUGCAAAUUUUUCCGAUUCGUAAUUUUUUAAUAAGCCUUUGAUUAAUUUUUUGCAUGCGGUGCGAAAGGGGUCUUUGAUAAUCGGAUCGAAUCAGUCGAGACUGUGUCAGCUAGUUGUCCUUAAACCGUCUUUAGCAUGUUCGCUAGUUCGGAUAGCCUUGGAAGGACUCUGUCUAGACGAGACAGCCAUUACAGGUAUACGCACACCAGUGCACACGUACAGUCAACCAGUCUCGCACUCGCGUUUACCCCACGCACGCACACCUUCGCUCCACUGUCUGGCUCGUAGACGUAGAACACGUGACACGCUAACAGUUGGUAUUAUAACCAGUACAUACGAAUUUUACCAUGCGGCAUACGGUGGUCAGAAUGGACUGAAUAGCAACUUUAACCAAAUCUCUCACAGCUUAGACGCCAUGACACUACUUCGCGAUGCUAGAAUCACCAGAGACAGUACUUGUUGGGAAGCUAUGGAACGCCAAGGCAUAGGCUGUGUGGCCCCCGUCAUCUCCCUUCAGAAACUGAAGAACUUUCUAGUACAGCCCAAGUUCAGAUCCUUAACUCAACAUGGUAAGUUCACCGUCCACUGGUUUAUCUCUGUGUGUGUGUGUGUCUGUAACAUAGCAUACGCGUCGUCGCUUAACCCUUUGUCGACUAAAGAUGGCAGCCAGUGGAUAGAUUGGUUUACGUGUGCUCUUUCGCCAACCAGCAAUUUUUUACAGCCCUGGCCAAUCUGACCAACUUUUAUAAUUAGAAGGUCACAAGCCAUUUCAUGUGGUGGAAAAAUAAAGUAAAUAAAAACAAGUAUCCGGUGGAUCCGACCACGUGAUCCGACCGGUAGGGAUGGUGACCUCAUCCGCACAAACAAUUCAUUCCAUACAUUAUUUUUGCAUUUAUAAAUUCAAUAAACCAUGGCCCAAUGAGCUAAUAAUCAGUGCAAAGGCGCCAUUUAUGAAUAGAAAUAUCGGGCCUGUAAAUAAGAGGCCGUAAUAGUAAUUAGAGUGGGCCUAAAGGUUACAUUUUAGAUUUAUGAGUACAUAGCAGGUUUAUGCGGCUUAUUCCAUCUGUUUCGUCUACUAUUCCAGACGGAUCUGGAGCAACACAACACGUCUGGACUGACGCGUCUGUUUACCGUCAAUACAAUAUAUUUCCAGCCUAGUCCAUUCGUAAUUUAAGUUUUUAAUUCCGUGUUUUUCCGGUCCAUAAUCAUAUUUAAUGCUUUUUGGACGGAGGAUCUUCUACAUUUUAAGCAGCUUACGUCUGUCUAGCAUUUCAGCAGAGUUGUGGACGUAAGAAAUCCGACUAAUCUUCUAACUCGCUUUGACUUUUGCUAUACUAAUCUCACGAAAAGGAGAUUACCCGAGACUCUAAGCUAAUUAGUAUUUGCUGUGCGAUAUUCCCGAAUAAGAUCGAUGCGCAGCUCUGAUCCACUCUCCAUCAAUUAGGCGCAUUUUACACGAUUCAUAACUUCCGUUUUUUGCCUCUAAUCUUUAAUUUAAAAUUACAAAAUCAGCGAAGUAAUUGUGAAUUUCCCAAUAAAAACCUAAUCCAGAUUGUCUCUUCCCCCUUCCUUCGAUCUUUUUUUAUUUUUUUUAAAUUUUUUUUUUUUUGUUGCGCAGAAAGUUGAUAGUUUUUCCUCCGUCUGCUUUUUUUAUUGCUGACAAAUAUUUCCUCGUACGUCUGGAAUAACAAUGCGACCCAAUUGUGUCCUCGAUUCUAACCAGAGAAAACCGGUAAAGUUUUUGUAAACAUUUCUUUUAAUAACAUUUCCACCUUUCCUGGAAAAAAGGGCCUUUUUAUUCUCGUCUACGCCACGGCAUAACAGAUUUCAGUUCGGCACUGCAGCUGCCAUCUAUGUAGACCAUCUGGACUGAUUUAAAAUAGAUUAGGCCUGACAAAUAACAUAAUCUGUUUAAUUUUAAUUUUGUUUCAGGCCUCUUUUACUUUUUCACGCGUCCUCAGGUGAGAAAGUAGGCUGAUAGCAUCUCCAUUAAUAUAUAUCAAUGGGAUAUUGUGCCCUCUUUUUAAUUAUUUCUUUCUUCGCUAAUCGUUAUUUGUUCUGGAUGGGUGAAGUGCGUGAGGCCUGAUUCACUUCUUAUAGAUGCUAUUAUAUCUACUGUCAAAACGAGCGAAACUGGAGAGCGGAGAAUAUUUUUUAACUUUUUUUUAUUUUUUGUUUUCUUCAGCAUCUGCUUUAAAAAGUGCGAAUUGCAAAUUUUAAAUAUCCCAUUCGAUUAUUAUAAAUAAACAUUGUGAAUGCUUGAGUAAAAAUAGCCAGUUUAAAGUUUGUUAUUUAAAUAAACGCUGAAAUUUUUCCAGUUGUUUUUUUUUUCCGGGCAGGGAAUCGGAUCUUUGUUUUCAAAUGGAAUGACAUUCGGUUUAGAGUUGCUUUUAAUUCUAAUUCAGAAUGGAGAAAAAAAUUUUUUUAAGUCUAGCGAUUACAUAAUAGAUCCUACUUUGUAAACCAAGUCUAGAUAUAUGUGUGCUUCAGCAUUAAAAAAAAAAAAAAAAAAAAAAUUAAAAAUUCCAAAUGAAGCAAGAGUUAUAAUGAUG
rnacentral:lncRNA from 1 species